rnacentral:tRNA from 2 species
AUUAUAUAAAAAACUUGCAACUAUUUUAAAUUAGUUGCAAGUUAAUUUCCCUAACUGACAUGUGAAGUGCAACACUUCAAUAUUACA